AGGACGAACGCUGGCGGCGUGCUUAACACAUGCAAGUCGAGCGGAAAGGCCCUUCGGGGUACUCGAGCGGCGAACGGGUGAGUAACACGUGAGUAACCUGCCCCUAGCUCUGGGAUAGCUCCGGGAAACCGGGAUUAAUACCAGAUACGACCACUUUAGACAUCUGUCGUGGUGGAAAGGAUUCCGGCUAGGGAUGGGCUCGCGGCCUAUCAGCUUGUUGGUGGGGUAACGGCCUACCAAGGCGACGACGGGUAGCCGGCCUGAGAGGGCGACCGGCCACACUGGGACUGAGACACGGCCCAGACUCCUACGGGAGGCAGCAGUGGGAAUAUUGCGCAAUGGGCGAAAGCCUGACGCAGCGACGCCGCGUGGGGGAUGAAGGCCUUCGGGUUGUAAACCCCUUUCAGCAGGGACGAAGCGAAAGUGACGGUACCUGCAGAAGAAGCGCCGGCUAACUACGUGCCAGCAGCCGC
rnacentral:rRNA from 1 species